rnacentral:sRNA from 2 species
CUUUCUCUGCUUUCUGUUGAGCAAGCAUCUGUCAUUUAUUUUUGUAGAGAUUCAGAUGUCUGCUCCACUGUUUUAUCUGCUCUCAUCUUACCCUCUUCUACUCUGAUUGAUUUUUCUCCAUGUAUAUAUUUCUAUUGUUUUAUUGAGCUUUCUAUGAAUCUUCUCAUUGGGGAUAUCAAAUCAGUAUGUCAGGCUCUUUGUGAGGUGGAGGUGUGCUCUGCACUUCUACAUACUUGCCUUGAGAUCUUGAAGUCCUUGACACAGGCUGAGUUUUAAUUUUUAUUGUAUAUGAAUUGUUUCUGAGGGUGUUGAGCUGGGGUGUUUUGUUGAUGUGCACCUUUUUCUUUUCUUUGUUCUU